UUCGAAUCCAAAUACAUAACGUCGCGAAUGAUGACUCUGUGGGGCCCACGCGAAUGAUACUGUUUCGGCAUUUUCCAUUUAUACCCAUCUUCAACCUCACAACAAACAAAACGUUCCUACAUAUUUAUCAGUAUCAACCAAAACCUGAAAUCUCUUCAGCGAAGGAUCCCCGAAGUUUUGAACAAAGCAAAACGCGCAUCGGAUAGACGUCGUUUCGAGACGAAUUCCAUUGAACGCAGUUCAACGCAGAUCUCUUGAAAUUGCUCAAUUUUUUUCAGACUAAAAAAUUGAUGUGCCCGACAAGUGAUAUAUUGAAGCUCUAUAUUCAAAAUCGUCACUGAGCACAAAACUCGCACAUGUGGCAACAGUCAGGAAGGGAAAGAAAUAAAUGACAAAAUGCAUCAGUAAGAAGACCAUCUCGGCCAUUUGCUGCUGUUGGAUCCUACAAGUGCAUAUAGGUGGACUAUGAAUUCAACCAAAAUUGGACUCCCAUGAGACUUCAGCUCCAAAGACAGAUUUCCUCCAACAUGCAGUUGGUUCCUGUGCUCUCAUCCCCUUUCCAUUAAUUGACCAUGCUGCAAGAACGGCUGUUCUCCAUCUGUAAAUAAGGAACAAUAAAUAGUUAUACCAUUACAGAACUUGUAUUUGAUUGUGCUUAAUAUCAAACGUAUAGUGUGGUGAUGCACCAAUUGUGCAAAACAAUUCUAAUACUAAAAGAUAAUGUACAUCAAUUAUUGAUUAUCAAAUAUGCACUCAGCACUUGCUUUGCAACCGA